CUACGGGAGGCAGCAGUAGGGAAUCUUCCGCAAUGGACGAAAGUCUGACGGAGCAACGCCGCGUGAACGAUGAAGGCCUUCGGGUCGUAAAGUUCUGUUGUCAGGGAAGAACAAGUACCGGAGUAACUGCCGGUACCUUGACGGUACCUGACCAGAAAGCCACGGCUAACUACGUGCCAGCAGCCGCGGUAAUACGUAGGUGGCAAGCGUUGUCCGGAAUUAUUGGGCGUAAAGCGCGCGCAGGCGGUUCCUUAAGUCUGAUGUGAAAGCCCCCGGCUCAACCGGGGAGGGUCAUUGGAAACUGGGGGACUUGAGUGCAGAAGAGGAGAGUGGAAUUCCACGUGUAGCGGUGAAAUGCGUAGAGAUGUGGAGGAACACCAGUGGCGAAGGCGACUCUCUGGUCUGUAACUGACGCUGAGGCGCGAAAGCGUGGGGAGCAAACAGGAUUAGAUACCCUGGUAGUCCACGCCGUAAACGAUGAGUGCUAAGUGUUAGAGGGUUUCCACCCUUUAGUGCUGCAGCUAACGCAUUAAGCACUCCGCCUGGGGAGUGCGGCCGCAAGGCUGAAACUCAAAGGAAUUGACGG
rnacentral:rRNA from 1 species